rnacentral:rRNA from 1 species
CCCUUAGAUGUCCUGGGCCGCACGCGCGCUACACUGAGUGUCUGAGAUACGAGUCUGCAUGGUCCGGCAAGGUCUAGGUAAUCGCUAAAAGACACAUCAUGCUUGGGAUAGAUUAUUGCAAAUAUUAAUCUUGAACGAGGAAUUCCUAGUAAGCGCAAGUCAACAGCUUGCGUUGAUUACGUCCCUGCCCUUUGUACACACCGCCCGUCGCUACUACUGAUUGGAUGUUUAAGCGAGGUUCUCGAACUGCUAGCGACUUAGCUUCGGUGAGGUCGCAGUGUGGGAAGUGAACCUAGCUUUGGUGUCUAGAGGAAGUAAAAGUCGUAACA